UACGAAGGGGGCUAGCGUUGCUCGGAAUCACUGGGCGUAAAGGGUGCGUAGGCGGGGCUUUAAGUCAGGGGGGAAAUCCUGGAGCUCAACUCCAGAACUGCCUUUGAUACUGAAGAUCUUGAGUUCGGGAGAGGUGAGUGGAACUGCGAGUGUAGAGGUGAAAUUCGUAGAUAUUCGCAAGAACACCAGUGGCGAAGGCGGCUCACUGGCCCGGUUCUGACGCUGAGGCGCGAAAGCGUGGGGAGCAAACAGG
rnacentral:rRNA from 1 species